rnacentral:rRNA from 1 species
GUCCACAGCCAUACUACCCUGAACGUACCCGAUCUCAUCUGGUCUUGGAAGCUAAGCAGGGUCAGGCCUGGUCAGUACUUGGAAGGGAGAUAAGGUGAACCAUGACCUCUGAAUC